ensembl:snRNA U2 U2 spliceosomal RNA
UGUCCUCCAUUGGAGGUCUAUAUUGAGCAGAUUCUUUUUGGUAUUGGGUGGUGGAACCAGAGCGUGCUCCAUCCACUCCAUGCAUUGACCUGGUAUUGCAGUGCUUCCAGGACCGGUGC